UAGCGGUAAAAUGCGCAGAUAUUACACAGAACACCGAUGGCGUAGGCAGCUUCCUAAGAUGUUCCUGACGCUGAGACACGAAAGCUAGGGGAGCGAACAGGAUUAGAUACCCUGGUAGUCCUAGCUGUAAACGAUGAUCACUAGGUGUGGGCGAUACACUGUCAGCGCCGGAGCGAAAGCAAUAAGCAAUCCACCUGGGAAGUACGGUCGCAAGGUUAAAACUCAAAGGAAUUGACGGGGCCCCGCACAAGCAGUGGAACAUGUGGUUCAAUUCGAUGAUACGCGAGGAACCUUACCUGGGUUUGAAUGCAGAAUGAUGUGCCGGGAAAAGCGUAUUCCCCUUUGGGGGAGCGUCAACAGGUUGCACAGUGGUGUUCUCAUCUUGCCCCGAGAGGUGUGGGUAAAUCUCAUAAAGAGAGCACACCUCAUCCCUAGAGUCCCAAGAGUAAAAUGGGGGACUCGAAGGAAAGCCGGGGGAAAAACGGGGAGGAAGCAGGUGAGCAUGUCAAAUCAGCCCGGGCCUUCACACCAGGGACACACAUCAGUUCCAAUGGUCAGGACAUAGGGCAGCGGACAGAAUAUCAGCAAAUAAUAUCCAAAAUUGGUUUUCAGUCGGCAACAAGUCUGCAUGUAGACUUCAUGAAGAGUGAAUCGGUGUCAGCCAUACAUCAGCCAAUACGCGCCGAAUACGUUCCCGCGCCUCGUACACAGUCAUGGGCAACCCAAGGACGCGAAGCGUACAUUAAGUCCCUCACCGGGGGGAUCUGCCGAAGGUAAAACAAGCAACUGGGACGAAGUCGUAACAAGGUAACCAAGGGCGAA
rnacentral:rRNA from 1 species